CGUCUAGGCGGGGGAUUAAGUUAGGUGUGAAAUCCCUGGGCUCAACCCAGGAACUGCAUCUAAAAACUGGUUCUCUUGAGUUCGGGAGAGGAGAGCGGAAUUCCCGGUGUAGCGGUGAAAUGCGUAGAUAUCGGGAAGAACACCAGUGGCGAAGGCGGCUCUCUGGCCUAGAACUGACGCUGAAGCGCGAAAGCGUGGGGAGCGAACG
rnacentral:rRNA from 1 species